CAAGUCUUUUGGGUAAAAUUACUAUGCGGACUGCCAAAUGGCAUCGUGGUUGAUUGCCGCCAUUCAUUAUACUUCUGGCCCUUCCCUUCAAAUUUAGG